AACGAACGCUGGCGGCAUGCCUAACACGUGCAAGUCGAACGAAGGCUUCGGCCUUAGUGGCGCACGGGUGCGUAACGCGUGGGAACCUGCCCCUCGGUUCGGAAUAACAGUUAGAAAUGACUGCUAAUACCGGAUGAUGACUUCGGUCCAAAGAUUUAUCGCCGAGGGAUGGGCCCGCGUAGGAUUAGCUAGUUGGUGGGGUAAAGGCCUACCAAGGCGACGAUCCUUAGCUGGUCUGAGAGGAUGAUCAGCCACACUGGGACUGAGACACGGCCCAGACUCCUACGGGAGGCAGCAGUGGGGAAUAUUGGACAAUGGGCGAAAGCCUGAUCCAGCAAUGCCGCGUGAGUGAUGAAGGCCUUAGGGUUGUAAAGCUCUUUUACCAGGGAUGAUAAUGACAGUACCUGGAGAAUAAGCUCCGGCUAACUCCGUG
rnacentral:rRNA from 1 species